GUGUCAGUACAUAAAACAAUAAGUAAACAGUAAUAGUUCCCAAUUAACAAUCCAGGAGGAUGUAAUAUAAAAAACACUAAUGCACACUGUAAGGAGGUGCUUAGCCUGCAGAGGCUGAGACCCAGGUGCAGGUAAUUGGCAGUUAAGAGUCUACCUGGCUAGAAGCCUGGGGCUGAGCUGUGAUUAAUCAGGAAAUGAGGGAGAAGCACAGAGCCUGUCUCACUCCUCCCAAGGACCACCCAAAAUGAAGGAAAAGUCUGCUGCAGGGAUCUCAGUUCUUUGAAACCUCAUGACAACAACAGGAGAUGGAAAAGUGGGAGCAACAGAAACAGCGUGUCGCAGACCAAAUCAAGAAUCCAGCACCACCUUCCCCGCACGGAAACACAUGUCCAAGCUGCAGUAGAGUCUGUUGAUCCUGAAUAGGCCUCAUCAGCCAUCUUUGGACAUACAGAUAAGACAACCGUGAAAGACAACCAUCCUCGACUGCAAGGGAUUGCCAAAGAACCACUAAAUAAAAAUGCCACUAUACCAGUUCCA